UGCAGACCUGCUCCUGGAGCUCGACCAGCUGAGAGCGCAGGGUGUCCUUCUCAGCCAGGAUACGGGCAAUCAUGGUCUGGGCCUCGUCUCUGGACAGGAACAUGGAGGCGCAACGCGGCAGACGGGGCAGAGAGGAAAAGCUCCCUAAGAGUCUUUCAGAUUCUCUCUUUUUGAUGUGGAGGCGACCCGUGGGAGCUGAUAGAGCCCAGCUCCCCCGAGGAGGACAGUAGCUUACUGCUCUUUCAUCUGGUUCUGGAUCACAGUGAUCUUCUUCUGGUGCAUGUUACAGUCCAGGGUCAGCUGCUGCACCUGGAGGCUCAGGCACUCUUUUUGCUCCAAGAGCUGAAUGUAAAAUACACAAAUGAGGUUUCAAAUGAUUUAGGGACACAGAAUAGAAUGUACAUUGAAAUAUGUGUAUUAUGUAGAAAUACAUUAGGUGAUGUAUUGUAUUUCUCAUGUAUAACUGUUUAUUUGACUGACACAUUUGUGUUACUUAACUAGAGCUUGUCGUGAGUUAUUUGUAGCAGCGGGUUAAACUGUCACUUUUUCAUUAUCCUGUAGAUGUUCCCUGUAUUUGCAUGACAUUCCGUGAUCCAUGGAUAAAACAAAUACACACGCAAACAAACGGACAUACCACUCGCUUCUCUCCCAGCAGCUGUUCGUUCUCCUCUCUGUAACACCUGAGCUGCUCUGCAAGCUCCACCUGGCUGUCAAUGGCCUCGGCCAGGUCCUGUGCCAAGAUGUCCCGUCGAGCCUGACGGAGACGAAGCAGCCACAGUAGAUUAGAGGAAGACACAACUGAGAAUGAAGUCUUUCAACAUUUACGUGCGAUUAUGUGUUAAGGCUGUUAGCCAAGGCCGCUGAAUGAUUAAGCGAUUAUUCUUACCGGGUCCAGUUUUUCCUCCUUCACCAGCUGGAAUUGCAGUUUCCUGGCCUUGUCUUGCAGUUGCGGCGUCUCAGCGCACCUGAGAGAUUGCCGCUUCUGGAACUCGCUGUCCGCCUGAGCCUUCUGCAGCUCGGUCUGCAGCUGGUACAGCUGCCACCGCACAAGAACAACAACGUUGAUAUGUGAACUUCUUCUUUUAUGAAUGAAUCAGCAUAAAAGUACAGUCAAAACAAAUUGUGAACAAAACCAAAGAUUAUAAAGUGGAUUGCCUCACCAACAAUCCCUUAAUCCUCUAAGGUUGAGGUCAUGGAGCCGCAGGUUCACAGAGGAUUUCUCCUCAACGGCUCCUGUGUAGCGCAUGUACAGGUCACACUUUUCAUCCUUCAGCC